rfam:Biomphalaria glabrata isolate BB02 linkage group LG4 unlocalized genomic scaffold LG4_random_Scaffold311, whole genome shotgun sequence.
GCAGUGGUUGAGUGGUAAAAUGCUUGGCUUCUGAACCAAAGGGUCUCAGGUUCAAAUCCUGGUGCA